rnacentral:rRNA from 2 species
AAUACGACUCUCGGCAACGGAUAUCUCGGCUCUCGCAUCGAUGAAGAACGUAGCGAAAUGCGAUACUUGGUGUGAAUUGCAGAAUCCCGUGAACCAUCGAGUCUUUGAACGCAAGUUGCGCCCCAAGCCUUCUGGCCGAGGGCACGUCUGCCUGGGUGUCACAA